UUCAGUAGUUUACUACAGAAAAUGACUGAGCGGCGAACGGGUGAGUAACGCGUGAGCAAUCUACCUUAGUUACAGGGAUAGCCCGAGGAAACUCGGAUUAAUACCUGAUAUUCUUUAUUUCUCGCAUGAGAAUAAAAGGAAAGGUCAGCCGAACUAAGAUGAGCUCGCGUUCUAUCAGCUAGUUGGUGAGGUAAAAGCUUACCAAGGCUACGACGGAUAGCUGGUCUGAGAGGACGAUCAGCCACACUGGGACUGAGACACGGCCCAGACUCCUACGGGAGGCUGCAGCAGGGAAUAUUGUGCAAUGAACGAAAGUUUGACACAGCGACACCGCGUGUGGGAUGACGGAUCUAGGUUUGUAAACCACUUUCAGGAGGGAAGAAAAUGACGGUACCUCCACAAGAAGCCCCGGCCAACUACGUGCCAGCAGCCGCGGUAAUACGUAGGGGGCGAGCGUUGUCCGGAUUUAUUGGGCGUAAAGAGCUCGUAGGCGGUUCAACAAGUCGGUCGUGAAAGUUCAGGGCUCAACCCUGAAAUGUCGAUCGAUACUGUUGUGACUAGGAUACGGUAGAGGUGAGUGGAAUUCCGAGUGUAGCGGUGAAAUGCGUAGAUAUUCGGAGGAACACCAAUUGCGAAGGCAGCUCACUGG
rnacentral:rRNA from 1 species